GGAUGCGAUCAUACCAGCACUAAAGCACCGGAUCCCAUCAGAACUCCGAAGUUAAGCGUGCUUGGGCGAGAGUAGUACUAGGAUGGGUAACCUCCUGGGAGGUCCUUGUGUUGCAUUCC
rnacentral:rRNA from 1 species